rnacentral:rRNA from 1 species
AACGAACGCUGGCGGCAUGCCUAACACAUGCAAGUCGAACGAGACCUUCGGGUCUAGUGGCGCACGGGUGCGUAACGCGUGGGAACCUGCCCUUAGGUUCGGAAUAACUCCCCGAAAGGGGUGCUAAUACCGGAUAAUGUCUUCGGACCAAAGAUUUAUCGCCUUUGGAUGGGCCCGCGUUGGAUUAGCUAGUUGGUAGGGUAAAAGCCUACCAAGGCGACGAUCCAUAGCUGGUCUGAGAGGAUGAUCAGCCACACUGGGACUGAGACACGGCCCAGACUCCAGCGGGGGGCGGAGGGGGGAAAUAUGGAAAAAGGGGGAAAGGCUUAACCCAGCAUGGCGGGUGAAGGAAUGAGGGCGUAGGGUUGAAAAGGUUUUUUACCCGGGAAGAAAAGUGGGGGCCCGGGGAAAAAAAGCGCGGUAAACCCCGG